rnacentral:rRNA from 1 species
GAUGAACGCUGGCGGCGUGCCUAAUACAUGCAAGUCGAGCGAACAGACGAGGAGCUUGCUCCUCUGACGUUAGCGGCGGACGGGUGAGUAACACGUGGAUAACCUACCUAUAAGACUGGGAUAACUUCGGGAAACCGGAGCUAAUACCGGAUAAUAUAUUGAACCGCAUGGUUCAAUAGUUAAAGACGGUUUUGCUGUCACUUAUAGAUGGAUCCGCGCCGCAUUAGCUAGUUGGUAAGGUAACGGCUUACCAAGGCAACGAUGCGUAGCCGACCUGAGGGGGUGAUCGGCCACACUGGAACUGAGACACGGUCCAGACUCCUACGGGAGGCAGCAGUAGGGAAUCUUCCGCAAUGGGCGAAAGCCUGACGGAGCAACGCCGCGUGAGUGAUGAAGGUCUUCGGAUCGUAAAACUCUGUUAUUAGGGAAGAACAAAUGUGUAAGUAACUAUGCACGUCUUGACGGUACCUAAUCAGAAAGCCACGGCUAACUACGUG